CAUGAAAGGAUGUGUACUCAAAGCCACAUCCCUCGAUGUCACAUUCUCCAUCCUCUCUCGACCCCUGGAAACUGCAUGACGGAACAGCUCCUUUGAAGUUAAUGCAGACUUUGACUGUUGCUGCAUCUCCUGAAGGUCAAAGCCAUCAGAAUCUCAGUGCUAUUAUCAGCGAGGGUUGCAAAGCCCAGCCCAGCUGUAGCUCCUCAUGUGAAGCACACUCUUGCAGGACUAAUGAAUGCUUCAGUUUCAUCAGAAACUCUACAAGCAGGGGCUUCUGGUGGGCUGCCCACUGUGCUGCCCACUGCUGUCCCCAUGAAACAAAAGCAGACCUGCUGGGGCCAGCCAGCGUCUGAGCCUGCGACCUUGGGUUCGUUCCUGUGUCUUUGUGGACAGAAGCUCGAAGACAAGAGAGCUGAGCCUGGGGAUGGGAGGUCGGAGCUGCCACUGGGAUUCGGCAGAGGAGGCUGCGUCUGAGGAGGUGGCCAAGGCUGAAAUAAGGAACCGCACCAACCCCUCUGUAGAAGAAGUCUGCAGGUUCCAAUCCUGACUCUGCCACUUACAAGCCGUGCAACUCUGGGCCUAGUACUUAG
ensembl:lncRNA